AGGAUUCCCUAGUAACUGCGAGUGAAGCGGGAAAAGCUCAAAUUUAAAAUCUGGCGGUCUUUGGCCGUCCGAGUUGUAAUCUAGAGAAGUAAUGCCCGUGCUGGACCGUGUAUAAGUCUCCUGGGAUGGGGCGUCAUAGAGGGUGAGAAUCCCGUCUUUGACACGGACUACCAGUGCAUUGUGGUAUGCUCUCAAAGAGUCGAGUUGUUUGGGAAUGCAGCUCAAAAUGGGUGGUAAAUUCCAUCUAAAGCUAAAUAUUGGCGAGAGACCGAUAGCGAACAAGUACCGUGAGGGAAAGAUGAAAAGAACUUUGGAAAGAGAGUUAAACAGUACGUGAAAUUGCUGAAAGGGAAACGCUUGAAGUCAGUCGCGUUGGCCGGGGAUCAGCCUUGCUUUUGCAUGGUGUACUUUCUGGUUGACGGGUCAGCAUCAAUUUUGACCGCUGGAAAAAGACCUGGGGAAUGUGGCAGCUUCGGCUGUGUUAUAGCCCCUAGUCGCAUACAGUGGUUGGGAUUGAGGAACUCAGCACGCCGCAAGGCCGGGUUUCGACCACGUUCGUGCUUAGGAUGCUGGCAUAAUGGCUUUAAGCGACCCGUCUUGAAACACGGACCAAGGAGUCUAACAUGCCUGCGAGUAUUUGGGUGGAAAACCCAAGUGCGUAAUGAAAGUGAAAGUUGAGAUCCCUGUCGUGGGGAGCAUCGACGCCCGGACCAGAACUUUUGGGACGGAUCCGCGGUGGAGCAUGUAUGUUGGGACCCGAAAGAUGGUGAACUAUGCCUGAAUAGGGUGAAGCCAGAGGAAACUCUGGUGGAGGCUCGUAGCGAUUCUGACGUGCAAAUCGAUCGUCAAAUUUGGGUAUAGGGGCGAAA
rnacentral:rRNA from 1 species